rnacentral:rRNA from 1 species
UAGCCUUCCAGGGGAUACUGUUAGACUUGGGACCGGGAGAGGUAAGAGGUACUGCAGGGGUAGGAGUGAAAUCUUGUAAUCCCUGUGAGACCACCAGUGGCGAAGGCGUCUUACCAGAACGGGUCCGACGGUGAGGGACGAAAGCUGGGGGCACGAACCGGAUUAGAUACCCGGGUAGUCCCAGCUGUAAACGAUGCUCGUUAGGUGUCAGGAACGGUGCGACUGUUUCUGGUGCCGAAGGGAAGCCGUGAAACGAGCCACCUGGGAAGUACGGCCGCAAGGCUGAAACUUAAAGGAAUUGGCGGGGGAGCACUACAACGGGUGGAGCCUGCGGUUUAAUUGGACUCAACGCCGGAAAACUCACCGGGGGCGACAGCAAUAUGUAGGUCAGGUUAAAGGUCUUACCUGAAUCGCUGAGAGGAGGUGCAUGGCCGUCGUCAGUUCGUACUGUGAAGCAUCCUGUUAAGUCAGGCAACGAGCAAGACCCGUGCCCACUGUUACCAGCAUAUCCUUUAUGGAUGAUGGGGACUCUGUGGGGACCGCUGCUGCUAAAGCAGAGGAAGGUGCGGGCUACGGUAGGUCAGUAUGCCCCGAAUCUCCCGGGCUACACGCGGGCUACAAUGGUUGGGACAAUGGGUAUCUACUCCGAAAGGAGUUGGCAAUCUCUUAAACCCAAUCGUAGUUCGAAUUGAGGGCUGUAACUCGCCCUCAUGAAGCUGGAAUCCGUAGUAAUCGCGUUUCAACAUAGCGCGGU